AGUUUGAUCACGGCCAUCAAAUUGGGCACUAGCGCCCGACCAUAUGCAAGUCGAGCUUGGAUAGGGAGCUUGCUCCUGGAUUCAGCGGCGGACAGGUAAAUGCAUCACCGGGAAUCCACCUGAGCAGGGGGAUGUACCAGCCGGAAAUGGCGCUAAUAUCGCACGCCUCCUCCUGAAGAAAGAUAAAGCGGGGAUCUGGACCUCCACUUCUCGUCGAAACCGGUCAGGUCAUGGUUGGGCGGGGUAAAGCCUAAGGCGACGAUCCGUAAUGGUGAAGGAUAAUCAAUCCCUGAGGCAAGACGGUCAAGAACUCAGGAGGCAACGGUGAGGAAUCAUGGACCAUCGGCAACCUGAUCCAGCCAUGCCGCGUGUGAAGAAAAGGUCUUCGGACAAAAGUUAACUUAGCAAGCCACUUCAAAAAUUUACAGGAAGGCAACAGAAUUCAUACCUUGCUGUUUUGACCAUUACCGCGGUAAAUCGCACAACUUCUUCGUACCAACAACCGCAAUGUCCCCAAAGGGCAAAGCGUUCAUCAAAUUAGGCUGAAAGCGCGCGUGAAACCUUCCGGCUCAACCUUGGGUCUUAAAUCAGGCUCUUCAAACUACCGAGCCUGACUAGAGUACGGUGAGGUGGUGGAAUUCCUUGUAGCGGUGAAAUGCGUAGAUAUAGGAAGGCCAGUGGCGAAGGCGACCACCUGGACUGAUACUGACACUGAGGUGCGAAGCGGGGAGAAACGGAUUAGAUACCCUGGUAGUCCACGCCGUAACGAUGUCGACAGCCGUUGGGAUCCUUGAGAUCUUAGUGGCGCAGCUAACGAUAAGUCGACCGCCUGGGAGUACGGCCGCAGGUUAAAACUCAAAUGAAUUGACGGAAGCCCGCACAAGCGGUGAGCACGGUCUAAUUCGAAGCAACGCGAAGAACCUACCUGGCCUUGACAUGCUGGAGAACUUUCCAGAGAUGGAUUGUGGCCUGUGAGAACUCAGACACAGGUGCUGCAUGGCUGUCGUCAGCUCGUGUCGUGAGAUGUUGGGUUAAGUCCCGUAACGAGCGCAACCUUGUCCUUAGUUACCAGCACCUCGGGUGGGCACUCUGAGACUGCCGGUGACAAACCGGAGGAAGGUGGGAUGACGUCAAGUCAUCAUGGCCUUACGGCCAGGGCUACGUGCUGCGUCAAAUGCAAAAGGGUUUGCCAAGCCGAGGUGGAGCUAAUCCCAUAAAACCGAUCAGUCCGGAUCGCAGUCUGCAACUCGACUGCGUGAAGUCGGAAUCGCUGUAAUCGUGAAUCAGAAUGUCACGGUGAAUACGUUCCGGGCCUUGUACACACCGCCCGUCACACCAUGGGAGUGGGUUGCUCCAAGUAGCUAGUCUAACCGCAAGGGGAUGGUUACCACGGGUGAUUCGUAUAGCUAAAAUUUA
rnacentral:rRNA from 1 species